GUCAGCUCUAUGCUCCUCAUGCAAGGGGCCAGCCGCUGCGCUUGGGGAAGGAGCCUCCAAGGUGACCAUGGGAAGGAAGGGGAGGACAGGGCAGUCCGCUUUUGCACUGAGCAUCGUGUUUAUGGUUGUCGGCAUAGCUGUCUCUCCCGCAGCGAACGCGGAGGCCACAGACGGGCUGAUUCUUGAGGGAGUGGCCGAUCAAGCCCAUCAGACGUUUUCUUCGUGUGCGUGGCCUCGCAGCUCGAGGCUGGGGCCUGAGGAGGGAUGCUAUGCUGGCUUUCUUCGGCCUCCUAGGAACCUGCAGCCGUGAGCAGAGAGGAACCCAUCCUGCGCCAAGAUGGGCCGGGGGGAGGGGGCAGGCACGAGGGUGUGCGCAUGCGUAUGGCGUAUCUUGGGGUGGGGAACAGCCCCGUCCCUGCCCCGUCCCUGCCCGAUCAGAAGAGCGGAGAAAUAACAGCAAACGGAGGCAAGAACUGAUCGGGAGAGAGAACAGUGGGCAAGGGUUACAUCCUGCGUGGAAGAAAGCCCUAAAUAACGUCAGUCUUAGAGGAGCCGGCCAGACGAGACCAGAUUCCCAUAAAAAUCAAACUGCAAAGAAAUAAAGAAAAGAAGUUAAAGUUCAUGGCUGAAAAGCCAUGUUUUUCCUCCGGUCCCUGUGGGAGGGGAGUUAUUAUUUUAGUGUGGGAAUAGGAAUAUAACAGAGUCUUUCCCAAUCAGAGCCUUUGGGUGGGUUAUUAUGAUUCAUAGACUGUGACUCACAUAAGAAAAUUCUCACUAGUGUAUUAGUAAUCGUUUAUAUCCCUUAAAAAGGAGAUAAGAUGAAGCAGAGGGAUUACAGAAUUAGUUUCUUUUCAGCUUAGAUGCUGGAUUUAUCUGACACGAUAAUUUCAGGAAGAGAAACUUUCUCUCCUUCCUGCGAAGAAAGAAAAUCUCAUUACUUUCUUCAGUAAUCACAUUUUCAAAAUACUUGUUAAAAUCAACCUCUGUGCUGUUGUUGUCACACUUUGCAAACCACUGUGCAAGAAAUUAAUUUUCUCCCGCGGUGUCACCUGGACCCGGUCAGCUUUGAUAGGAAGAAGGUUACAUUGAUAUGAUCCCUCACCCCAAGAUUUCUUCACUGCCAAUAGUUAUUCUAGAAUACAUGUAUCAUGUAUUUUUGAAUUACAUUUGUCAUUUUGAAUUAUGUUUAUCAAGAUUUACAAAUCCAUCAGUUCAUCAAAAUGCAAUUAAGUAGACUACUUCCCUACUGCUCAUUCAUGUCAUCGAAAGGAUCGAUCGAAUGUAAUAAAAACAUCAAGCCAGCCA
rnacentral:lncRNA from 1 species